rnacentral:rRNA from 1 species
CCUACGGGAGGCAGCAGUGGGGAAUAUUGGACAAUGGGGGGAACCCUGAUCCAGCAAUGCCGCGUGUGUGAAGAAGGCCUGAGGGUCGUAAAGCACUUUCAGUGGGGAGGAGGAUGCUUAGGUUAAGAGCUAGAGUAUUGGACGUUACCCACAGAAGAAGCACCGGCUAACUCCGUGCCAGCAGCCGCGGUAAUACGGAGGGUGCGAGCGUUAAUCGGAAUUACUGGGCGUAAAGGGUGCGUAGGUGGUUGAUUAAGUUAUCUGUGAAAUCCCCGGGCUCAACCUGGGCAGGUCAGAUAAUACUGAUUGACUCGAGUAUAGGAGAGGGUAGUGGAAUUUCCGGUGUAGCGGUGAAAUGCGUAGAGAUCGGAAGGAACACCAGUGGCGAAGGCGGCUACCUGGCCUAAUACUGACACUGAGGCACGAAAGCGUGGGGAGCAAACAGGAUUAGAUACCCUGGUAGUCCACGCUGUAAACGAUGUCAACUAGCUGUUGGUUAUAUGAAUNUAAUUAGUGGCGNAGCAAACGCGAUAAGUUGACCGCCUGGGGAGUCGGUCGCAAGAUUAAAACCGCAAAGUGAAAUUGACGGCUGAGACGUAGACCGACGGACGACGACGAGGGGAGGAGG